rnacentral:tRNA from 1 species
AGGGGCGUAGUUCAGUUGGUGGAACGUCGGUCUCCAAAACCGAAUGUCAUGGGUUCGAGUCCUAUCGUCCCUGCCA